CUCUACCAAUAUUAUGAUCGUCGUUGUCGUAGUUAAAAGGUGAGAUAGCAAUUUACAUACGGCGAGUAAGUACUAAGUAGUGCAUUUUCCAAUUUACGAGUACCUACGAGUAGUUACGUAUUUUCGAUAGCCUACCUACACCUAGCGAUCGCGUUCUCUUUUUGUGUGUCGAUUCGCCAUUUAAAAAUUCUACAAAGUAACUACCUAACUGGUAGAAAAUUGUACGAGUACCUAUAUAGGUAUGUAGGAACCAUCGGACCGGCGCGGCGCGGCGCGGCGCGGCGGUGACGAUAAAAAAUUAUCAAUUUUCAUAUUUAGCCCGACUCACCGACCAUACUUACUGAAAGUCAGUGGUAUAUGUAAUAAUCCGAGUAAAAGGUUAUGUAAUACUCGUGUACCUCUACCUGUUUAUUCUUAUGGUUUACGUUUUACGGUAGCAUUGCGCGUUACUGUCUACUUCGCUUUUCGGUUUUGGUUUUUGUAACCGAAAAAUUGUCCGUAAAAUGAGCGUAUUUCCGGACGGAUUUCUGCUAGGCGUAACUACGUCCGCAUUUCAAAUUGAAGGUGCUUCCGACGAAGAUGGAAAAGGACCGAGCAUUUGGGAUCGAUUGCUGAGCGAGCAGCCGGAGCUCGUAAGAGAUGCAAGUGAAAUUGGCGUCGCCGCUGAUGCUUAUCAUUUGUUCGCGGAAGAUGUGCGAUUAAUCAAAGAUUUGAAAUUUGACUCGUAUAAAUUCUCGAUCAGUUGGAGUCGUAUUUUACCAAACGGCGAUAUCAGCUGUAUAAAUCAAAAGGGCGUAGAUCACUAUGGCAAAUUAAUAGACGAACUUAUCGAACACGGUAUAAUUCCCAUGGUAACGUUAUAUCAUUUUGAUUUGCCAGCAAAACUUCAAGAACUCGGGGGCUGGUGUAAUUCCUUGUUAAUUGAUUACUUCGUAGAUUACGCUAGACUGAUGUUUCGAUGUUACGGCGACAAGGUGAAAUGGUGGACAACUUUUAACGAACCAUUGGAAAUUGUUCACGGUUACACCGAUCGUAGAUACGCUCCUUAUUUAUCGCUCGAGUGUUUCGACGCGGAUUACAUCGUUGGUCAUAAUAUUUUGAAAGCUCACGCCGCAGUUUAUCGCAUGUAUCGCGAAUCCUUCUACGCUCAACAAAAUGGAAAAAUAUCGAUAAUUUUAUCUGGAAUGAAUUUCGAACCAAAAUCCGAGAACGAUGCUGACCAACAGGCUGCGCAAGUUGCUCGCCAGUUUACCAUGGGUUGGUUCGCUCAUCCUAUUUUUAGUAGUCACGGCGACUAUCCUCCCAUUAUGAGAGAAUUGAUUGAUCAAAAUUCCCAAGAUGAUCCCAAACACGGAUCAAAAUUACCUAGAUUUUCGCAGCAAGAGAUAGAACAAAUUAAAGGUAGUUGCGACUUUUUUGCUUUAAACCAUUACAGUAGUGCGGUAGUAUCGCCGCUCGUAGAUGGUCAAUCGAGUCCUUUUCGAAUGCGUUACGCCAAAGUUAUGUUGGAAUUCCGGAAAGAAUGGCCAUCUACUGGUGCCCAUUGGUCUAGAGUGGUUCCAUCCGGAUUCAAACAAAUGCUGUUAUGGAUACAGAAAGAGUUCAACAAUCCGCCGGUGUACGUUUACGAAAAUGGUUAUUGCGAUAAUGGUCAAAUUCGAGACAUCGAAAGAAUCAGUUUUUACAAGGGCUAUCUGAAAAAUCUUUUGGAGGCGAUUAACGAGCACAAAUGCAACAUUAUCGGUUACCACUUAUGGACUUUGCUGGACGCAUUCGAAUGGUUGAAUGGCUAUAGCGAUAGAUAUGGUAUUGUAAGCGUAGAUUACGACGAUCCGAAGCGAACGAGAAAGCCAAAACUUUCGGCAUUAUUUUGGAAAAAAAUUUGCGAGAAUCGUAGUAUUCCCGAAGAAGAGUUUUUUCAAGAAUAACAAUAGUGCGCUUUGGAUGUCGAACAAUUUUUCGAGUUUGAUUAUAUUGAUUCAAAGAUUUGGAAUACCAGCCUUUGCGAUGAAUUUCUACACUAGAUUCAACGUUUUCGUAAAUAGCAUCGCAAUGGCAAUUGGCAAUACAACAUCCGAAUCCGAAUCCGAAUCCGAAUCCGAAUCCGAAUAGUAUACCUACCUAUACCUAUACAAGACGCGUAUAAUCGUCGAUAUUCCAUAA